rnacentral:tRNA from 1 species
GCCCCGGUGGUGAAAUUGGUAGACACAUCGCACUUAAAAUGCGCCGCUUAACGGCGUCCCGGUUCGAGUCCGGGCCGGGGCACCA